ACUCUAAAACCAAAUCCGCACCAGAGAUUUGUGUAAGGGGAUUCAUUUGACUCGGGGGGAAAGUGUUAGGCACUCCCCAAGUUCCGUAGCUAGUUCAAUUGGGUACUUGAUCUAGUCAGCUUUUAAUAUAUUUGAAGUGGGGUAAUAAAACACAAAAAGAAAAUGAACAAUCAACAGAGGCUCGAGGUCGUCCCCACCUAAAUGAAAGAAAAUUAAAUAUUAAAGUUUUAAAUUAUCCUACACUACUUCUUCUACGUUGUUCGUCACAGCCUCCAAUUACAUUCACUUUGGGGCGUAUCCUAAAAUAAUAAAAUAUAUAUAAAUCCCUCGGGACAUUCCCCGAGUAUUCAAAGAAAACGAUCAAGACAAGCAUGAACGCAUGUCAAACCGUACUAUUUCACAAUCGAUUGAACAUCAAUCAUUCAGGUCACAAGUCAAACAAUUCGAGCCAAAAGGCAUUCCAAAACAUUUAAGUAUAACUCCAAUACUUGUUCGCACAAAUCAUCCCUCAACCCAUCCCCUUUCCAAAUUGACUCAAACACUUUCCAAAUUUGACAAAUCUAUGGCUCUUAUCAUGUUUCAAUCACCAUUACCAAGAAUAAGAAGGAAAGAGGUGAACUUGAAACUGCAAAAUGCUUCAAUUAAGUUUGUUCGAAAUUGAAUAUAAGUGAAAUCCACACUGAAAUUUUGAAGUAACAGCAGCAGACAAAUAGGAAUUGUACCAGCGACACGGCAGCGAUAUGAACCACGAACAAAACCUCUCGAGCAGUUGACGGACCUUAGCUAAACUUCAUUUCUUGUUACGUAAAUCAGAAGCUGAUAUUAUUCAUUUUUUUGGAAUUUUUUGUUUCGAAAAUUAAAAAAAUACUUAUAGAGAGCUCUAAGAUUUUUGUAUGCCAUGACCUAAAAAUUUGAAAGAAGAACCUGAAAAUCAGAAAACCCUAGCCCCUCUUCUUUUUCCCCAUUCCUUUCUCCUUUAUACGUCUCAAGAACCCCUUAUUUAUAUGAGCCAUAGAAAUUUCUAUUCUUCUUCUGCAAGAAAAUCUGAAAAAAUCCUUCAAAAUUCCUAAAUCCAUUUGUUGAAGAAAGUAAGGGAUAAAUGGAGGGAGUAGAUUGAGCUAGAACUCAAUCUUACGCUCAUCAUUCAUCCUCCCUCGCCUUAAACGGAUCGUGUGAACGAAGAGCGUGUGAGAGGGAUGGAAUCUUCUUGUCAGAAGUCGUUAUGGUCUUGAUAACAUGGAAGAAGGAAAGGAGAGAAGGGGGGACCAUGAGAGAGGUUUUUGUGUGGUCUUGUUAUGGCUGAAACGCGGCUGGGAUGGCGUGAAGUGGGGGCGCCGUUUGGGUGGAGUUACAUUAGGGUAGGGUUUGAAAACAUUAGGUUUUUAUAUUAUGGUGGGGAUGAAUUGUGGUCGUUGGAUCCAAGGGUUUGGACAGCUGAGAUUAAAACAAAUUGGGGUGGGUUGGUGGGUUGGAUCCAGCUGGGUAAGGGAUUAGGUGAGGAGUGCAAAGAGGUAUGGGUUUUGUGGGCUAGGGAUUAACUGGGAUUGGGC
rnacentral:lncRNA from 1 species